UUAACAGCGAACUAGCACGGGAGUCUCGAGAGAAGCCAGGUUAUCCCGGUAUAUUUUUCUGUUGAUACGAAAAAUCAGGGGUCUCUUGGCAGAGACAGGAUCCUGUUUAACCUUUGACCUUGUGACAGACCGCCCACUGGAGGCUCUAAGAUUGAGGAUUGACACUAAUGUAGCCGUUCUCAGGACCAAGAGAUGAAGACAUUGAGAAACCGAGAGAAUCAGGAAAGCAGCUGUCAUAUGAAAAGUCUGAAUAAAGGGAUUUGAGUGCCCACAUCAUCAUGACAUCAGAGCAUGAAGAGACGAUUUACAGGAUUUUUGAGCAUGUGUGCUUGAGGUAGGCUACAUGCGAGAGGUCUGAGCAUUUAAAAAUACGCAGCUCCGGAGGCAUUUAAUAGCCAGCGACUUCAAAAAUGUCCAGCGUAGGGAAAAGGGAGAACGAGAGAGAGAAAAGGAUGAUGGAGAAGAGAAGCACACGCAACCCACUUACUGUACAGCACCACCGCUGAAGGGGCCUUCAAAGGAAACUCUGCACUGAUAUGAAAAUCCAUAAUCCAAACAGUAAUGAGAGAGAGAGAGAGAGAGAGACAGAGAGAGAGAGGGUGAAAAUGAAAGCGAGUCGCUGUCUUUUCUGACAAGAAUGCGAAGCCUCGCGGGAGGAGAAACUGUCGUGUCACAUAAUUGUCUGAACAAAACAAAAUAUCCAGAAAGAAGAAAGUAAAACGCUUGUGUAAUAUAAAUAGCCGACCAUCCUCUUUAACACUUGCACUGAGUUAAGACUUUUAUCAAGAAUGUCUAGUGCUGAGGUCUUAAGCAUCGUAAAUUGCUUAACAUAGGGUUAGUGAUUUGAAGAAACCCUAACCCUAAGAAUUACACUUUGGUUCUUAACUUGCACUGUUUGUGUUACAGACAGGAAUGAUUCCUUAAAUCGUGCAAAUUGUCGAGUAAGCAAUUUUUACCUCACAGAUGAUAUAAAACAGGCAAAAAAAAAUCCCUUAUGAGGGAGCUGUAUAGGGACCAGAACUUAAUAGGGCUGGGCAGUCACUUAGAAGAACACCCAAGCAACCGCAUAGCAACAUGCUUAUUAAGAAAUAGCUCUGGCUAGUAAGCAAACACCUAGAAAUCUUUCAGAACACCCUCAAAUUAGACCAAUUAAGCACCCUAGCAACUGGUGGUUCUCAUUACAUUUUAGCACAUUGCAAAUUUCACCUUUGCAACAGCUUGACAAUUACCCACAACAGAAAAUGUAAAAGUCUAUUUUACAAUCUGAACUCUUUAGGGAGUGAUAAUGAUGGACAGAUUCAUAACACAAAUAGAAGACUGUAAACACUCUCCUCCUCCUCCUCCUCCUUGACAUCUCAUCACUUCAUAUAUUACUGCUUCACCAACAGCGUGACAUUUUAGCAUUUGAAGCAUUCAGCAGCAAUAGCUCAGUGUAGGACUGUAUCUCCAGGGAUGGAGGAAUG